rnacentral:rRNA from 1 species
GUGGGGAAUCUUGCGCAAUGGGCGAAAGCCUGACGCAGCCAUGCCGCGUGAAUGAUGAAGGUCUUAGGAUUGUAAAAUUCUUUCACCGGGGACGAUAAUGACGGUACCCGGAGAAGAAGCCCCGGCUAACUUCGUGCCAGCAGCCGCGGUAAUACGAAGGGGUCUAGCGUUGCUCGGAAUUACUGGGCGUAAAGGGCGCGUAGGCGGAUCGUUAAGUCAGGGGUGAAAUCCCAGAGCUCAACUCUGGAACUGCCCUUGAUACGGGCGAUCUUGAGUGUGAGAGAGGUAUGUAGAACUCCGAGUGUAGAGGUGAAAUUCGUAGAUAUUCGGAAGAACACCAGUGGCGAAGGCGACAUACUGGCUCAUUACUGACGCUGAGGCGCGAAAGCGUGGGGAGCAAACAGGAUUAGAUACCCCAGUAGUCC